rnacentral:rRNA from 1 species
CGCCCAUUAGCUAGCCCCACCUAUAAACCACCAACAAUCAACCAUUAAUUAGCCCCUAAUCCACUAUAAAAUACCCUAAGCUAAACCAUUUCUCCCCUUAAGUACGAGCGACGGAAAAAGGACCCGCGGAGCGAUAGAGAAAGUACCGCAAGGGAACGCUGAAAGAAAGAUGAAACAGAUUAGUAAAGCACAAAAAAGCAGAGAUUUAACCUCGUACCUUUUGCAUCAUGAUUUAGCCAGUAUCCCCAAGCAAAAAGUUUUUUAGUUUGAUACCCCGAAACUAAGGGAGCUACUCCAAGACAGCCUACCAAUAGGGCGAACCCGUCUCUGUGGCAAAAGAGUGGGAAGAUCUUCGAGUAGAGGUGACAGACCUACCGAACUUAGAUAUAGCUGGUUGCCUGAGAAAUGAAUAGGAGUUCAGCCUCCCGGCUUCUCUCUUCACACUUGCACCAAUGCUUUAAUAGAUAACUAGAGAAACCGUUAGAGUUAGUCAAAGGGGGUCCAGCCCCUUUGAAACAAGACACAACUUUUAUAGGAGGGUAAAGACCAUACUAUAUCAAAGAAUUAAUGUUUUCGUGGGCCUAAAAGCAGCCACCCUAAUAGAAAGCGUUAAAGCUCAAACAUACAAUUAAAUUCUAUAAUACCGAUAACCCAAUCUUAACCCCCUAACCCCUAUCAGGCCGUCCUAUGCCAACAUAGGAGCGACUAUGCUAAUAUGAGUAAUAAGAGACCCCCGACUCUCUCCCUGCAUGCGUGUAAAUCGGAACGGACCCCCCACCGAACAUUAACGGCCCCAAGCAAAGAGGGCAUUGAAGAAUUAAUCAAACAGACCGGAAAACCCUCCACCAUCACACCGUUAACCCUACACUGGUAUGCUCCCAAGGAAAGACUAAAAGAAAAAGAAGGAAUUCAGCAAACCCAUUACUAGCCUCGCCUGUUUACCAAAAACAUCGCCUCUUGAAAACCCAGUAUAAGAGGUCUCGCCUGCCCAGUGACUAUAUGUUCAACGGCCGCGGUAUUUUGACCGUGCAAAGGUAGCGUAAUCACUUGUCUUUUAAAUGAAGACCCGUAUGAAUGGCGGAACGAGGGCUAAACUGUCUCCUUUUUCAGGUCAAUGAAAUUGAUCUCUCCGUGCAGAAGCGGAGAUAACACCAUAAGACGAGAAGACCCUGUGGAGCUUUAGGUAACAAAACAGAUCGUGCCCAGCAUACCUAAAUAAAGGACUGAGCCUAAUGAAAACUGUUUUUAUGCCUUCGGUUGGGGCGACCAUGGAGUAAUAAAAAUCCUCCAAGUGAGAGGGAGCACUUCACCCUUUUCUACCUCUACAUCCACCCUUAUCUAACCCUCCUAAAACCAAGAGCUACGACUCUAACUAGCAGAAAUUCUGACCUAAAUUGAUCCGGCUAUGCCGAUUAACGGACCAAGUUACCCCAGGGAUAACAGCGCAAUCCUCUUCUAGAGCCCAUAUCGACAAGAGGGUUUACGACCUCGAUGUUGGAUCAGGACAUCCUAAUGGUGCAACCGCUAUUAAGGGUUCGUUUGUUCAACGAUUAAAGUCCUACGUGAUCUGAGUUCAGACCGGAGUAAUCCAGGUCGGUUUCUAUCUAUGUAAUUAACCUUUUCUAGUACGAAAGGACCGAAAAGGAGGGGCCCAUGCUAAAGGCACGCCCCACCCUUACCCAAUGAAAGCAUCUAAAUUGGACAAAAGGGCAUAAUUCUUUUCCAUGCCAAGACAACGGCACA